rnacentral:tRNA from 1 species
GUUUUAAUAAUUUAAGUAAAAUUUUGGUCUUGUAAACCGAAAAUAAGAGAAAUCUUUUAAAACU